rnacentral:piRNA from 1 species
AGGCCAAUGCAAGAGCCAAGGUAA